UAGUUCAGCACUAAGUCACUUUGUCUUAAUGGCAAAUGUGAGAUGCAGUGUAUGGAAUGUCAAAUUUCUAGUAUGAGAAAUUAACGAUUUAAGUCCUUCUUAAAUGAGGCCAUUUACCCAAAGAGGGUGCCAGGCCCGUAUAACGUUAAUGAUUACUAGAUGGCAUUUCCAAAGAGUCGUGUUGCUUGAUAGUGCAGCACUAAGUGGGUGGUAAACUCCAUCUAAAACUAAAUAUAACCAUGAGACCGAUAGUAAACAAGUACCGUGAGGGAAAGUUGAAAAGAACUCUGAAUAGAGAGUUAAAUAGUACGUGAAACUGCUUAGAGGUUAAGCCCGAUGAACCUGAAUAUCCAUUAUAGAAAAUUCAUCAUUAUGAUUUUAAUAUUUAUAAUAUUAUAAUAAUGGUGUGCAUUUUUUCUAUAAAAGGACAUUGUAAUCUAUUAACAUCAAAUAUUUAUCAAAAGAUCAAUUGCAAAUGUUUAUUCAAAUUAUUUUGCUUGCAAUUUAACAUAGAAUAAAUGCUUUUGAUUUGAUAAAGUGUUGAUAGAUUUAUUAUAUAUAGUGCUUAAAUAUUUAUAUUUUAUAAUAGCAUAUUAAUCAUUGAUUUUUAUGUUUAUUAUAUGCACUUAUAUGAUUAACAAUGCGAAAGAUUCAGGAUACCUUCGGGACCCGUCUUGAAACACGGACCAAGGAGUCUAACAUAUUUGCAAGUUAUUGGGAAUAAAAACCUAAUAGCGAAAUUAACAUAACUUAUAUAAUGGGAUUAAUUUUUAGCCUAUUUAUAGUCUAUUAAUUCAAUCCCGGGGCGUUCUAUAUAGUUAUGUAUAAUAAUAUUUAUAUUAUUUAUACCUCUAACUAGAGCGUACCUUGAGCAUAUAUGCUGUGACCCGAAAGAUGGUGAACUAUACUUGAUCAGGUUGAAGUCAGGGGAAACCCUGAUGGAAGACCGAAA
rnacentral:rRNA from 1 species